rnacentral:rRNA from 1 species
GACGAACGCUGGCGGCGUGCCUAAUACAUGCAAGUCGAACGAACCGCGACUAAGUGCUUGCACUAAGUCAAGGUGAGUGGCGAACGGGUGGGUAACACGUGGGUAACCUACCUCAUAGUGGGGGAUAACAGUCGGAAACGACUGCUAAUACCGCAUAGGACAUAGGAUCACAUGAUCCAGUGAGGAAAGGUGGCGCAAGCUAUCGCUAAGAGAUGGACCCGCGGUGCAUUAGCUAGUUGGUAGGGUAAAGGCCUACCAAGGCGAUGAUGCAUAGCCGACCUGAGAGGGUGAUCGGCCACAUUGGGACUGAGACACGGCCCAAACUCCUACGGGAGGCAGCAGUAGGGAAUCUUCCGCAAUGGACGCAAGUCUGACGGAGCAACGCCGCGUGAGUGAAGAAGGUCUUCGGAUCGUAAAGCUCUGUUGUUAGAGAAGAACAGCGCAUAGAGUAACUGCUAUGCGUGUGACGGUAUCUAACCAGAAAGCCACGGCUAACUACGUG